rnacentral:rRNA from 1 species
CUGCCCGCUGAAUUUUAAGGCCGCGGUAUUUUGACUGUGCUAAGGUAGCAUAAUAAUUAGCUUUUUAAUUGAGAGCUUGAAUGAAGGGUUGGACAAAGAAAAGGCUGUCUUUAAUAUUUUUAUUGAAUUUUACAUUUAAGUGAAAAGGCUUAAAUUAAUUUAAGGGACGAUAAGACCCUAUAAAUCUUUACAUUUUUUUUCUUUAGGGAUAACAGCGUAAUUUUUUUUAGAGUUCAUAUCGAAAGAAGAGUUUGCGACCUCGAUGUUGAAUUAAAAAUUUCUUUAUGGUGUAGUCGUUAU